UCAGUCCGCUGGGCUCUCAAUCAGGUUUUCAAAAUACUAAUCUUGAUCUAAGAGCCCCUAUCUCUACAUCAGUGGAGGAAAUGAUCAUUUUUAGAGGCUUCUGGGCAUGGGGAAGAAGAAUGGUUUUCAGAUCGCAGAAGACCUGAAAGACUGGUCUGGCGUUCUCUUUACUGUGGACGCACUGCUGGACGAGGACCUUUUCCCGGGGUGUGAUUGUGUGCACACAGCCUUGCUCUGUAGGCCUCCCGGCGGCGAAUCCAAUGACUAAUCAUCAGCAAGUGGAUCAAAGCCUGGAUUAAACAACAUCGCUCUCUGUAUCUCCUGUGUUACAAAGGCCUGCGCUCAGUUCUGGAACUUUUCUUUGGCUUGGACCAAAGUUCGGGUCACUGCGUGGAGUCCAGCAGAGGCCGCGGUGCCCGACUCUGUCUGGGCACAGGUCAUCUCGCGGCACCCUCUGGCACCCUCUUUCAUCUCUUCAGAGAAGUCUUCGGAAAUAGUUUUCCCAGACACAAACGGGUGAAUAAAUCUGACCUCACCAGACUUUCCUGCAGGCUGCGAGCACCCUAGAGGCAGGAAACUUGCACUGUUCCUGACUCUGGAACCCAGUUCAGUGCCUGGCACUGGGCAAUAAAGGAUGGCUUUUUGAAUGAAACAAAGUAUG
rnacentral:lncRNA from 1 species